CAAACCGGGAGAUAGCUGGUUCUCCCCGAAAGCUAUUUAGGUAGCGCCUCGUGAACUCAUCUUCGGGGGUAGAGCACUGUUUCGGCUAGGGGGUCAUCCCGACUUACCAACCCGAUGCAAACUACGAAUACCGAAGAAUGUUAUCACGGGAGACACACGGCGGGUGCUAACGUCCGUCGUGAAGAGGGAAACAACCCAGACCGCCAGCUAAGGUCCCAAAGUCAUGGUUAAGUGGGAAACGAUGUGGGAAGGCACAGACAGCCAGGAUGUUGGCUUAGAAGCAGCCAUCAUUUAAAGAAAGCGUAAUAGCUCACUGGUCGAGUCGGCCUGCGCGGAAGAUGUAACGGGGCUAAACCAUGCACCGAAGCUGCGGCAGCGACACUAUGUGUUGUUGGGUAGGGGAGCGUUCUGUAAGCCUGCGAAGGUG
rnacentral:rRNA from 1 species